rnacentral:rRNA from 1 species
AGUGAACGCUGGCGGUAGGCCUAACACAUGCAAGUCGAACGGCAGCACAGUAAGAGCUUGCUCUUACGGGUGGCGAGUGGAGGACGGGUGAGGAAUACAUCGGAAUCUACUUUUUCGUGGGGGAUAACGUAGGGAAACUUACGCUAAUACCGCAUACGACCUACGGGUGAAAGCAGGGGAUCUUCGGACCUUGCGCGAUUGAAUGAGCCGAUGUCGGAUUAGCUAGUUGGCGGGGUAAAGGCCCACCAAGGCGACGAUCCGUAGCUGGUCUGAGAGGAUGAUCAGCCACACUGGAACUGAGACACGGUCCAGACUCCUACGGGAGGCAGCAGUGGGGAAUAUUGGACGAUGGGCGCAAGCCUGAUCCAGCCAUACCGCGUGGGUGAAGAAGGCCUUCGGGUUGUAAAGCCCUUUUGUUGGGAAAGAAAAGCAGCAGGUUAAUACCCCGCUGUGCUGACGGUACCCAAAGAAUAAGCACCGGCUAACUUCGUG